rnacentral:ncRNA from 2 species
GCCGCCUGGUCUGCCCUAGGCUGAGGCCACCACGUCUCGUGGAACAGGAACCCGGUGCGACUCCGGGGCGGUUCCGCCACUGUGAGGCCGUUCGCUGACCCAGCGACCGGCCGAAGCCAGACACUGGCCACGAGACCUCCGACCAA